AAUAAGGUGCCUGACUAAAGGACUAUUUUGAUAGAAUAGAUUAAGUAUAUUUUACCCUUAUUA
rnacentral:tRNA from 1 species